AUUGAACGCUGGCGGAAUGCUUUACACAUGCAAGUCGAACGGCAGCACGGGUGCUUGCACCUGGUGGCGAGUGGCGAACGGGUGAGUAAUGUAUCGGAACGUAUCCAAUAAUGGGGGAUAACUAAUCGAAAGGUUGGCUAAUACCGUAUACGCCCUACGGGGGAAAGCAGGGGAUCUUCGGACCUUGCGUUAAUGGAGCGGCCGAUAUCUGAUUAGCGAGUUGGUGAGGUAAAGGCUCACCAAGGCGACGAGCAGUAGCUGGUGUGAGAGGACGACCAGCCACACUGGAACUGAGACACGGUCCAGACUCCUACGGAAGGCAGCAGUGGGGAAUUUUGGACAAUGGGGGCAACCCUGAUCCAGCCAUUCCGCGUGAGUGAAGAAGGCCGUCGGGUUGUAAAGCUCUUUCGCAAGGGAAGAAACGAUACAGUCUAAUAAACUGUGUUAAUGACGGUACCUUGAUAAGAAGCACCGGCUAACUACGUGCCAGCCGCCGCCGUAA
rnacentral:rRNA from 1 species